UAAAAUAUUGCCUGCUUUUGGGCAUUGGCAGCCCGCUAUUUCGAGCCCUGGUUUACUACACACCACUAAAAUUUAGAAACAUUCCCAAAAUCUAAAGUCCCAGCUAUAAAACCCUGAUUAGGAGGGGUUGAGUUGCAGCUUCCAAGAACAUCUUUUUGUUAUAAUUGUAGAUUCGUAAUGGCUAGUGCCAGCAGCUCAACCCCCAUAUCAAACGAAGAACGAAGAUGGGUUGUCGUUGGUGUAUGUUUGACCAAAGUGCUUACUCCUGCAUUGAGGAAUGUUCUUGCAACCGAAAUACCAAAGUGGCAUCAGGUUUUAUGUCAACCACCGACCGAAAUUGACAAACAAGUUUAUGGUCGACAUAAAAUACAGUUGAACCCAUCAACUUUAGACCUCAAGUAUAAAAAUAUCAACAACAAUGAUGCCCUUAGAUCACCUCGUGCAUUUGAUUAUGCAGUUACAGAUCCGUUGUCUUUGGCAAAGUUGUUUGUUCAGCCUUUCAUGUCGAAAUUCACUGGCUUUGAUCGAACAAUGGACGUAUCUGCAGUCUUAUCAGUGAUUUGUGAAUCUGCCCCAUUUGUUAGAGCUGCUGCUCAUGCAAAGACAAUUCGGUCAGAUAUCAGAAACGAGUGGGCACAUUGCAACUUUACACAUUGGACUGAAGCAAAAUUUAUUGUUGCCUUUCAAAGUAUGGAAACUUUACUUAAGAAUGUCAAUUUGUCGCCUCAAGAUGAACAGAAAUUGUGUGAUGAGCUGAAUAGUUGGAAAGAUAAAG